GCUUACGGCCAUACCACCCUGAACACGCCCGAUCUCGUCUGAUCUCGGAAGCUAAGCAGGGUCGGGCCUGGUUAGUACUUGGAUGGGAGACCGCCUGGGAAUACCAGGUGCUGUAAGCGU
rnacentral:rRNA from 1 species